GGCACUUUCGCAAAGUUUAUAUAACAGGCAAAUUAGGGGGCAAAUCUUAUAGUGGUUAUCGUACUGAGGAUUAUCUCUUGGGGGGCACUUUGAAUUGUCGCUGAAGUGUAGAAAGAAAAGUAUUGCUUCGUAUCUGGACCUAUUAAUGGUCUGGGAGUAAAUCAGAGUGCUGCAAACAGGAUUUUUGGACCAGUACAUUCUGAUGCUGUACUGU